GCUUCUAUAGCUCAGUUGGGAGAGCGCAGCACUGAAGUUCUUUUGAAUACCUGGGGUGACAUGCUGAGGUCACCCGUUCAAUCCGGGUUGGAAGCA